GGAGUACUCCAGUCAAUACCGUGUGAGUUAGAAAAGCUCAAUUCACAAGGUAUUGACUGGCGUAUUCA
ensembl:miRNA MIR4457 microRNA 4457